rnacentral:rRNA from 1 species
CCUACGGGAGGCAGCAGUGAGGAAUAUUGGACAAUGGAGGAGACUCUGAUCCAGCCAUGCCGCGUGUAGGAAGAAUGCCCUAUGGGUUGUAAACUACUUUUAUACAGGAAGAAACACUGGUAUGUAUACCAGCUUGACGGUACUGUAAGAAUAAGGACCGGCUAACUCCGUGCCAGCAGCCGCGGUAAUACGGAGGGUCCGAGCGUUAUCCGGAAUCAUUGGGUUUAAAGGGUCCGCAGGCGGUCGAUUAAGUCAGAGGUGAAAUCCCAUAGCUCAACUAUGGAACUGCCUUUGAUACUGGUUGACUUGAGUCAUAUGGAAGUAGAUAGAAUGUGUAGUGUAGCGGUGAAAUGCAUAGAUAUUACACAGAAUACCGAUUGCGAAGGCAGUCUACUACGUAUGUACUGACGCUGAGGGACGAAAGCGUGGGGAGCGAACAGGAUUAGAUACCCUGGUAGUCCACGCCGUAAACGAUGGAUACUAGUUGUUGGGAUUUAUCUCAGUGACUAAGCGAAAGUGAUAAGUAUCCCACCUGGGGAGUACGGUCGCAAGACUGAAACUCAAAGGAAUUGACGGGG